CCGGCCACACCCAUCUAACAGAAUCACGUGUUGGCAAGCACACCGGACAGGUUGAAGCGAAUGCAAUAACGUGAAAUGUAGUUCCUGGAGUGUGAAUUUUACCAGAAUCGAUGCUGAAACACAGACGCGUCCAGUGACCUGUGCUUCUCCGUGUGUCCUGCGUUCAGUUUGCAGUCCGUCGAUGCAGACACCAUGAAAUAAUCCAUAGCAUCUGGAGCUCCUCUCUUUCUCCCCUGAUGAGCAGCGAAUCGAUGUUCCCGCCGGCAGGCCCGAGACACAGAGAGGGGCGAGAGACACGCUGCCUCUGUAAUUCAUGGCCCAUUGUAUUUGCCCGAGCAGCUCCCUGAAUGCUUUUGUGCUGGCUGAGCGGGAAUCCUUCCAGAGCAUUAAGUCAAUGUUUGAGCUCUGAACCGAGAUUGAAGGCUCAAUAUUAUGGGAGAGAUUCAUGAUUUGCUGGCCAUGCGUCAGGUGAAAUUACAAGCUUGUUAGAGACCCAUAAUUCUCCACCGGAUCCUGAUCAGAUCAAACACAACCUCCAUCAGAUUCAACUUUACUUGCACUCAUGGGAUACCAAAAGCUGAUGAUUCGAAGAAUGUUCAAGCACAAAAAUGUUUCUGUGUAGCAAUGACCGAUUAGUAAACGGCGUAAUCCAAAUGCUCCAUAGGCAAAUGUUGUGUUGUGGUCAUAAAAAAUACAUUUAAAGGAACAGUUCAUCCCUAAAAAAUA